rnacentral:rRNA from 1 species
UACGUAGGGCGCAAGCGUUGUCCGGAAUUAUUGGGCGUAAAGAGCUCGUAGGCGGUCUGUUACGUCCGCUGUGAAAACCCAGGGCUUAACCCUGGGCUUGCAGUGGAUACGGGUAGACUAGAGGCAGGUAGGGGAGAAUGGAAUUCCCGGUGUAGCGGUGAAAUGCGCAGAUAUCAGGAGGAACACCGAUGGCGAAGGCAGUGUUCUGGGCCAGUACUGACGCUGAGGAGCGAAAGCGUGGGUAGCAAACAGG